AUCUGCGCGGCCCCUCACCUUCCCGCCGGGCCUCCUCGAGGAACUGGCCGCCGUCAGUCAGGGCGCAGAUGGCCGCAGAAGCGCGCCGCAGACACUCGCCGCGCCAGCCACUUACCCCCAGAGGAGAGGGGUCUCUCCCGCCACCUCAGCCUCUCUGGUAGUGGAAGAAGCCGCCGGUCCAGAUCCCUCCUGCCUGUGGGACCGCUGUUUCCCUGGCAACCAGAUGCGCGAUGCUUCCGGUCUCGCGAUAGCGGAAAGGGCUGUACCAUCCGGAAAUGGGACCGGGGCCGGCGGCUGUUGGAGCCCUGCGAGCUGGGACGGCCGGCGUGUGUCCUUCCGUCUUCGCUGCCGACGGUGGGGGUUGGGAGCGAUUUUUCGUCUUUAGGUUGGAUUCGGAACGCGGACGUCUGGAUGCUUGUGUAUCUCUGUCCCUCAUAUUGCUGUGAUGCCUUACAGGUCAGUUAUCCUCUCCGAGCACAGUUUCCUCCUCCGUAAAAUGGGAACAAUAAUAAUUCCCUUCUUACAAGACUUGUGCAGCUCAAAAAGACCAUGUAUGUGAAGCUCUAGUAAAUUUGGGGUGCUAUGGAAAUUUUAAAAAUAUGAGUUUUGCACAGAUUCGGCUACAGUCCAAAAAGAGUUAUAAUUGCUUUUUGCACCUUCUUUCAUUUCGUAGUUUCUCUAAUUCUCAGUGCACGAAAAUUAUUUCCCUACGUCCACAAACUGAUUUUCCUCACCUCCAUUGCCAUCAUUUCUCCUGCUUUCCAGUCUGAACAGCACAUUACCGUUUACAGGGCAUUUUCACAUUCAUGGCCCCUUUGUCCUCAUUGUUUUAACUAGGUACGAUGUGGUUUUUUUUCAGCGAAGCAAAUAGUCGUAGGCUGAGUUGCCGAAAGAACACAGCUGCAGUCUAGGCGAGUGCUGGGUAUAAAAACCUGGCUAUAAAUGCCAUCCCUAUGCUCCUGAAUCCUGCAUCUUAUCACCAGCCCAGACUUCCCUGAACUCCAGACUCCUUUACCUAACUGCCUAUUUGGCAUAUCCACUUAGAUGUGUAAGCAUCUCAAACUUAACACGGGAAAAAACAACUUCUCCAGAGUCCCCCACCCACUUUCUAUCCAUCUCAGCAAAUGGUAAUUUCAGCCUGCCAUGCCUAGACCAAAAACCUUGGAGUCAUCCUCAAUUCUUCUUCCUCUCUCACUCUACAAUCUAUUUGUCCUAUCAGCUCAACAUUCAAAAUAUAUUCAGAAUCCAAACAUUCGUCACAACUUCAGUGCUUCCAUUCAGGUUCAUACUGACAUCAUCUCUAAAUGAUAAGGCUUUCUGUUGGCUCUCUGACCUCCACUCCUACCUACUGCUUUCCCCUGGUAAACCUGGUUCCAGCCUCACUGUCCUCAUUGUUAGUGUUUCUGUGCAGGGAUUUCUUCCCAGCAUUUCUCAGGGAAUUUAUGUGGCUUUCCAAAUCUCAAAAGAAAAAAAGUUGCAAACUGAAGAAAAUGGGAGAAAGUAUCCUAAUCCUCCUAUGAGAAUUAAAACAUUUCAGCCUUGUUGCCCCGGUUGCCCUUUCCUCACCAUAAACUUCAACCGAAUGUAACAAUAUGGUAGGAGAGGGAUCUCAUUAAGCCUCAUAUCGUAGAUUCUACACACUGGAUUUUGUGUAUAAUAGCCAUUCCUACUGGAGAGCAGAUAAUAGUGUUUACCACUGGAUAGUUCCCAUGUCCUGUGAAUCUAUGCUUAGUGUUAUUGAAAAACUGCAUUUACAAAGUGUUUCAGACUUGCCUUCCAAGCAUCAUUUCACUUCAUUCAUAACAUUCUAUGAGUCGGCACUAGUAUUACCUGGAUUUAGAGUUGAGAAGCAGAGCACCUAAAGGGUAAGUAAUUGUCCCAAGGUCGUUGGGGAACUAACUGGCACCGGGAUUCCAACCUAGGUUCCAAAGCCUGCCCUCCAUCUCCUCAGGGGUCCGAAUUCUAGAAGAGGAGAUAUUUGUGUCCACUAGAUGGUGCUGAUUGUCCUCUUAAAAAAAAAAAUUGGCAGCCACUUUCAGAAACACGUUCCUUUGGAUUUUAGGUGUAAUUCAAGAAACCACUGAACUGAAGUAUCUUGUAUGUCUGAAUUGUGCCUGGAUGCAUCUUUAAAUAGCCACCCAAAUAGGAAAAGUGAAAAUUUGAUCUCAAAAAAACUGCAUUUUUUAAAAUGUUAGUACCUAUAAAUAAUAUCAAAAAACCAUGGUGACUUUGAGACUCUGAAAAUUCUCAUACAUCUGUAUUUACAUUAAAUCAGUAGACUUAAGAAGAAAUACAUGUUUUAUUCCAUGUACCCCUUUUAUACCAACUGUACUCCCUCCAGCAUCUCCCAAUCCUGCUUGGCCACAAUGCCAUCCAUGCCAGCAAGGGUCAUGAACAGGGAAGUAAAUAAAGCCUGAAAAAAACAACAAUCAGAUUCUGGAACAGGUAACACUUUUUUCUUUUUCUUUUUUUUUUUUUUUUUUGAGAUAAAGUCAUGCUCUUUCACCCAGGCUGGAGUGCAGUAGCACAAUGAUCAUGGCUCACUGCAGCCUCAACUUCCCAGGUUCAAGCAACCUCCCACCUCAGCCUCAUGAGUAGCUGGGACUACAGGCAUGCAACACCAUGCCCGGUUGAAUUUUUUUUUUUUUUUUUGUAGAGGUGAGGUCUCCCUAUGUUGCCCAGGCUUAAUGCUAUUAUUAUUGAAAGUAAAAUACAUGUUAAGUAUAUGUUUCAUAUGUGCUUAGUACCUUAUUUUAGUACAUUUUUUAGAACUUAAAAGCUGUGAAAUAAACCCGAUUCAAAUGGGUUGUCAGAUUUUGUUGUUGAGAAGGAUCAGUUCAGGUGUUAUUUAAAAUAUUGAUUCUAGUCCCUAUUACAUGAUUCAGUGGGUCUGGAAUGCAGACCAGGAAUCUGCAUUUUUAACAAGUCCCUUGGUGCUUGUGGUACAGAUGAACCACUGACUUCAAGUUAAUGUUUUAGAGGGUAAAUAGUGGUGAGGACAUUGCUCCUGGAGGCACCAUGGAGCCCCCUGCAGCUGUUCUACACGGAGGCUGUGAACAGUGACAUCCAGCACUUCCUUUGUAAACAGCAGGCUAGAGACUGAAAAAUGCUCUCCCUGUAGAACUCUUUCCCUCCUCUCCCUGUCUGCUGUGGAGUGCUGCACAGAAUUAGCUGCUGGUCAGUGGAUGUCUCCAUUUUUUAAAAGAUCAAGCUUACAACUUCUCAAUGCCUAUUGGUCCAAAAACAGUGAUGACUUUAGGUUUGUUUUCAGUUAAAGAAGUUAGAUCAUGUAUUGUCAUAUAACUAUUCAACUGGCUCGAGCGAUCCGAAUGUCAACCUAGGGGGCCACAAACUUCCAGGACAUUGUGAAAUUGUGUAAAAAUCAGUGCACACAUACACACACACACACACACAUAGCAGUGCAGCUACAUGUUUCUGGCCUAGAGGGUUGUUUUUAAAGAUAGUAAAGUAAAUCAAUGAAAACGAAGGUAUGUUAUAAUAUCCAGAGUCAUUUGCAGGGGGAAGGUGUCAUGUCAAGUGGGCCCUAAAGCAAUCAGCUCUGCCAAGUGAGUCAUUCUCACCAGAAAGGAGAAAAAAAUCGGUUUCUCUUCUUUUCUAAGGAAAUUCCCUCAAAGUAACAGACUGCUUAACUUUCUCAUGAUCUUACUGGCUACAAAGUUUGGUCACCCGCAGCAACUCUGUACCUGUAAAGAUUUAAAGAGUUGGCAGAAACUUCCCAAGGCCAGCUGCAGUUUCAGUUGCUGGAUGCCCACUGAGAUUAGUGUCUCGCCCCUGUCAGCUGAAUGGAUGUGACACUGCUUGCGCAUAAUGGCUGAAAUUGCACUGCAACUAUCAAUCCUGGGCUGAAACCAACAGAUUCUGAACAUUGCCCAUGCAUUGGGUUUCAUGCUUCAUGCUUUCAACCUACAGGUAAGCUUGUCUCUGAGUCCAAAACCUAACUUCAGUAUUGAGCUUGGUCUCUCUGAUCCCAUAGGGGUUUGUUAGUUUGUUGUUUUAAAUUGGAUCUCCUGAUCUGUGUACUUGGUUGAGGUAAGCAGGUCUAUGCAAACCUACCCCCAAAGGCCAAGGAAGCUGAGAGGCCAAUGAAAGAAGCUGACAAGUCCAGUUUCUCAGAAAGAAACAUUCAAUAAGGGCUUACAAACAGAAGCCAUGUCUCUGGCGGCCAGAGAGACAGUGGAUCCCCGCAACUGCCCUCCAGAAAGCAUCUUUUAUAUAGCAAGAUUUUAGGGAAAGAUGUGCAGCCAGUCAUGCCUCAGGCCUUCUUGCAAAACUCAUGACCCCUGGGGUGGUUAGAUAAGCAUCUCUAUGAGAGUUUAUCUAUGCUACAGGAACACAUUGGUCAUCUUGCUAUGCAACAGGCCGUUUUCCUACAAUACUAAAAUGAAGCUUUAGUAUAUAGUUAUGUAAGCCUUCAUUAUUAUGUAAACCUUUGUACAUAUUUUAACAAAAAAUAAAGGAAGCUAAAAUAAUUAAGAUGCCAUAUUAGAAACAUUCAAAUCAAAUAUUUAGGGUGUUAAGCAGCAAGGUAAGGAAAUGAUUUUUCUCAGAGUUAACAUCUCAGACAUAAAGAAAUAAGAAGUAAACCACCCCAGGGGUUUGUUCAUCAGUCAUGGGUCAGGCUGCCACAAUGUUUAAGUCUCAUCCUGGCAUUCUUAGCUUCUCACUUUAUUUCUUACACAAUCUUUUUCUUAGCUGGAAUCCAAAGUAAUGUUUCUAUCUGAACAUACAGUGUUUAUUACACUAGGAACUAGUCAUCAUUUUGAAGACUUGGUUUUCUUGUUUACAUUUUUAAAAUUUGAUCAUCCAAACUCCUUUCUUAAUAGAAGCUGGCUUAUUUUCCCCUUAUUUUGCCAUAAUAGGCAAACUAAAAUUAGUGCUUUAAUUUUGUUCAAAAUUUGUGAUGUUUUAUAUUUUUGUAAUUCAUCACUGACACACAUUUUAAAAUACACAUCUCUGGAUUUUCUGUCCUGUCUUUGCCAAGAACAGUGUGGCCUGGGCCUAGUCUCUUAACCUCUUUCCACCUCAGUUUCUUUGUCUAGUAAAUAAGAGGUAGAUAAAGGUUUCUACCACUACUUCCAGCUCUGAGACCCUGUGAUUUUCUGAUUUAAGCAGUCUCUGCUCUCUUUGGAAAUGACCUGCUUCUCAACCCAACAUUCAUAACAAUGUAAAAGGCAUCUGCUCAACGUGCAUGGCAGCAAGAAUUACUUGUUUAGAAACAUCUGGGUAAUGGUAACAACCAUCUGUCUUGUCCCUGCAAUUGUCGAACAAAGAAUUAAGCAAGCAAAACCACAAGAGAAGUGCCCUAUUUUUAUAGAACGAUGCAAUAGAACAGAAUUUGUUUAGGUUUUAUGAGAGUUGCAUAUGUAUCCCACCUCUGUUAUGGAACGGCAAGCCUCUUCACCUCUGCAGACUUCAGUUUACCAGCCUAUCUGUCAAACAAUGGGAAGAUAACUCUCUAGCACUGUUCCUUAUUUUGUUGAAAUAGAGAAAUUAAUAUGUUCUUGAGACACUAUACUGAAUUUUUCAUUGCACUUGUUAAUAAAAUGAGUAUUUUCAUGUCAAAUAACAGCAACCAUCCAAUCCAUGCUGGAGAAUGAAAGAAAAGCAGAUGAAUUAUCAGGUUCAAUUCAUAUCUGGUGUGCAUUAAAUGCUCAUCUAUCUUGUAUAGCUUGCUACAGAUGAUGGUAUUUUGGUGAAAAUUGCCAACAAUUUUUUAAAUGAAUCUAGAGAUCAUUACCUGGACCCAAAUUUGUGAGAAUUUUGCAUUCGGGUGGACACUUGCAUCCAUGCAUUCAAUUUUCUAUCAUUCAUUGGUCAUUUUUUCUGAGUUAAAUCCUCUAGCGAGGGCCGGGCACGGUGGCUCACGCCUGUAAUCCCAGCACUUUGGGAGGCAGAGGCGGGCGGAUCACGAGGUCAGGAGAUCUAGACCAUCCUGGCUAACACGGUGAAACCCCGUCUCUACUAAAAAAUACAAAAAAUUAGCGGGCGUGGUGGUGGGCGCCUGUAGUCCCAGCUACUCAGGAGGCUGAGGCAGGAGAAUGGCGUGAACCCGGGAGGCGGAGGUUGCAGUGAGCGGAGAUUGCGCCACUACACUCCAGCCUGGGCGACAGAGCAACACUCCGUCUCAAAAAAAAAAAGAAAAAAAACCAAAAAACCUCUAGCGAACUAUUUCUGGGCAAGUGAACUUUUCAGCAUUUCUCUAAUCAUGCCUAAUUGCUCAGAGAUUCUGACAGGGAUAGGAACA
rnacentral:lncRNA from 1 species